rnacentral:rRNA from 1 species
ACGCACGCUGGCGGCGUGCUUAACACCUGCCAGUCGCACGGAAAGGCCCUGCUUUUGUGGGGUGCUCGAGUGGCGAACGGGUGAGUAACACGUGAGUAACCUGCCCUUGACUUUGGGAUAACUUCAGGAAACUGGGGCUAAUACCGGAUAGGAGCUCCUGCUGCAUGGUGGGGGUUGGAAAGUUUCGGCGGUUGGGGAUGGACUCGCGGCUUAUCAGCUUGUUGGUGGGGUAGUGGCUUACCAAGGCUUUGACGGGUAGCCGGCCUGAGAGGGUGACCGGCCACAUUGGGACUGAGAUACGGCCCAGACUCCUACGGGAGGCAGCAGUGGGGAAUAUUGCACAAUGGGCGGAAGCCUGAUGCAGCAACGCCGCGUGCGGGAUGACGGCCUUCGGGUUGUAACCCGCUUUCGCCUGUGACGAAGCGUGAGUGACGGUAAUGGGUAAAGAAGCACCGGCUAACUACGUG